UUAAAUCAGCAAAGCAAGCCGUCCCUUGGUUUAAGGUGUUUUUCCUGGCCAUCCUGUCUUGACUAGAACUUUACCUACACCUUCCUUUUUGGUUUAGGCAAAUUAUAGUAUCUAAAACUGAAGUCUCAGCUCUGUGUCUUUGAGAUAUAAAUGUUCUACCAUGUCUUCUCUGGAACCUGAUAACUAUCUAUCUCUUUAAAAUGCAAGUCUAGGGAGAUGACUCAUCAGAAAAAGAAGAAAAAAGAGGUAUUUGGAAAUUGUGCAAAUUAAAGCAGCCCCUGAUGCCAAACUCUACACAUUCCUGAGUGAGUCAGUUCUGGCCAGUUCUAGCUGGAUCAAGAGAGCUCUGCUGGGCAGGCCUGAAGAACACCUGGAUGGCAGACACCUGAGGAGUCAGGUGCCUGAAACUUCCUCCACCUGCUUGAGGAGCGCCAAAGCCCAGGUGCUGGCUGGACAACCCCUUCUGGCUGCCUAAGCAGGUAGCAGAAGAAGGAAACAAGGGCAGAGGCAGAGUGUUGAACCCUGCCUCCCAGCCCCCACAUCACCCAACCAACCAGCAGAGAUCCUCCUUCCCAAGAAACAGAUAAAGAAACUGAGGCCCAGGAAGGCUAAGAGUCCUGCCAGGAUUAUUCACCUUUCAAGCAGCCAAGCAAGCACUGGCUGUGAGAGAUGGCUGUGAGAGAAGAUUAAAACAAUUACAACUCACCCAGUUCACAGACGCUGAGUAACUGAUCUCCUGCCCCACUAACCUUAACGACAGCUUUCUCUGGACAAGGGACUGAUUUCAAUAACUUUCUCCUGAUAAGAGACCAUCCUCCAUGGACUGGUUCUGGCCAGUUUUAGAGGCUGUGGCUUUACAGAGGCUGAGUACUUUCAUGUCCCUGCUUCACUUUUUGAUGUGUAGGGCCUAAUUAUAAUACAUUUAAAUGUCAAGUCUCCACCCCAGGAUGAACAUGCAUGUUUAUUGAAUAUGCAUGUGUUAGGACCUCUUUUAUGAGUAUUCUCAUAAAAUGAUAUAGCUCCUCUGAUAUCCUAUUGAGUAUGUAUAUGUAGCCAACUCAUUUGGCUCAAAUUCCUGUCCUCUCCUUCCCUCCCUGGAAAUGCCUGCCUCUGGCCUUGGCUGUAGGCCACACUUCCCAGCCUGUCAUAAUGGCCACCUUGCAGACUG